CCCCUGGAUCCCCGGAACGGCCCCUGGAUCCCUGGAAUAGCCCCGGAACGGCCCCUGGAUCUCUGGAAUAGCCCCCGGAACGGCCCCUGGAUCUCUGGAAUAGCUCCUGGAUCCCCUGGAAUAGCUCCCGGAUCCCGGCCCGACGCUUUUCCGGGCGCUCUUUCCUGCGAGCAGGAGAAUCCCCGGAUUUCCGAACCCCCGGAUUUCCGAAUCCCUGGAUUUCUGAAUUCCCAGAUUCCCAAACCCCCGGAUUUCCAAGGCGUGUCCCGGCAGCCCGAGCGGACUCCGACCCCAUCCCCGGCCCGCGGCCGCUCCCAGCGGGAACUCCGGCCCGGGAGGAGCCGCCGCCGCUUCUCCCGGAUUUUGGCUUUUCCCGGAUUUUGGCUUUUCCCGUGGAUUUUUUGGCACCGGGAGGGGUCGGGGUGUGGCCCGAGGCCGAGAUUUCUUCCUCCCUUCCUUCCUCAUCCUCCGGCUGGCCCCGGGAUUGUCCCCAAGCCGGGCUUUUCCUGGGAGAAGGGAGGGGUCCCGCUGUCCCCUGGCAUGGAACUGGCACCGCUCCGCCACCCCCGGGCCGGGCUCGCCGCUGGAUUCCCCAGGCUGUCCUGAGCCGCCAUGGCCACCAAGGUGCCGAUCUACCUGAAGAGGGGCAGCCGCAAGGGCAAGAAGGAGAAGCUGCGGGACAUCCUUUCCUCGGACAUGAUCAGCCCUCCGCUGGGCGACUUCCGCCACACCAUCCACGUGGGCAGCGGCGGCGAGGGCGACACGUUCGGGGACAUCUCCUUCCUGCAGGGCAAGUUCCACCUGCUGCCCCGCGGCGCCGACGGGGACCGCGCUGCCGCCG
rnacentral:lncRNA from 1 species